GAAUCGCAUGGCCUUGUGCCGGCGAUGGUUCAUUCAAAUUUCUUCCCUAUCAACUUUCGAUGUUUGGGUAUUGGCCAAACAUGGUUGCAACGGGUAACGGAGGGUUAGGGCUCGACCCCGGAGAAGGAGCCUGAGAAACGGCUACUACAUCCAAGGAAGGCAGCAGGCGCGCAAAUUACCCAAUCCCGACACGGGGAGGUAGUGACAAUAAAUACUGAUACAGGGCUCUUUUGGGUCUUGUAAUUGGAAUGAGUACAAUUUAAAUCCCUUAACGAGGAACAAUUGGAGGGCAAGUCUGGUGCCAGCAGCCGCGGUAAUUCCAGCUCCAAUAGCGUAUAUUAAAGUUGUUGUGGUUAAAAAGCUCGUAGUUGAACCUUGGGCCUGGCCGUCCGGUCCGCCUCACCGCGUGUACUGGCUCGGCCGGGCCUUUCCCUCUGUGGAACCCCAUGCCCUUCACUGGGCGUGGCGGGGAAACAGGACUUUUACUGUGAAAAAAUUAGAGUGCUCCAGGCAGGCCUAUGCUCGAAUACAUUAGCAUGGAAUAAUAGAAUAGGACGUGUGGUUCUAUUUUGUUGGUUUCUAGGACCGCCGUAAUGAUUAAUAGGGACAGUCGGGGGCAUCAGUAUUCAAUUGUCAGAGGUGAAAUUCUUGGAUUUAUUGAAGACUAACUACUGCGAAAGCAUUUGCCAAGGAUGUUUUCACUAAUCAGGAACGAAAGUUAGGGGAUCGAAGACGAUCAGAUACCGUCGUAGUCUUAACCAUAAAACUAUGCCGACUAGGGAUCGGACGGUGUUAUUUUUUGACCCCGUUCGGCAC
rnacentral:rRNA from 1 species